GGAACCAAACUUCCCGAGCUGGUGAUCUGUUUUCUCAACCCGGUCAGUUCUCUCAACUCCGACAAAGGCUGCAGGCGAGACCGGUGGCAGUCUCUUCGUCUCGAAGUCGCCAACCACCCUCUGUUCAUUUAUUGCUCAACUGACGACAUAUGAAAGAGUAAUGGAGCUCCAAAGCGUUGGAGCUGUACAGGAAAGUAUACUUGCAUCACUACACCAAAAGUGAUAUUUAGUGACGGAUUAAGAAAAUCGUCUCUAGUGAUUUUAAUAGAGACGGAUUUUUUUAUGAUUGUCUCUAAUGACAGUGGUGGCGGAUUAAAAUUCGACUCUAAUAGUAUUAGAGACGGAAUGUAGCCCCUCUAAUCUUUUGGGCGCGACCUCAAAAUUUGAAGACCGGACAUUUUUUUGGCGCAAAGUUUUGGAUUUUAGAAAUUGAAAUGAAAAAAUCUUAUCUCACACCUAAUAAUUUCCCCAAUAUCAAACCCGAAACUUCUCUUCUCAUCUUUCAUCAGUACCGCCUCAUUGUAGCCACCGUCUCAGUCAAACCACAAAUCUCUAAAUGGUGAAACCACAAACCACCGUCUCCUACACAACCAUAUCUUCAACAAGCAAGGCCAAUAAUCUUUGGUAUUUUGUUUAAUUGGAGGCAAAGGAUCAGAAGAAGCUCUCACGGACCCAAUUCAGACCCGAGCAUCAUCAAGGACUACGAGAGAAAUUGGGGUAUGCCUAUUAGGUGUUUGCAGAAAUGUCUAAGCGAAGCACUUGAAAUUGGAUUGGUUUUCACUAUUGAAACGGCUCUAUUUUCCUCUCAAAGUCACAUCUUUGAGUAUGUUAAUCGUUCUACAAGCGAUGGUAUGAAUUGAAAGUGGUUGUAAGGCUAGCUAGCUAGUGUUUUUCUCUUUUGAUUAUGAUAGGUUUACUUGUAUGAUAAAAACUAAUACUGAUGUAGUAUGCAUGAAAUGGUCAGUGAUGUUGUAUUGGUGAAUUUGAACUUGACACAUGAUGAUGAAGAUUGGAACAUCAAAUUGAAAUAAGGUCAGUAAGUUGAAUUUAGCAAUUGUUCCUUGUACUCAUUUUUGUGCCACUUAUGCUUGCUUAUAUAAUUAGCUGCACACAAACAUCUGAACUAUAUUAUGGGUUUAAGGUGCUUCUUUUUGUAGGUUAUUGAGGAUUCAAUUGCGUUCUCAUUUGGGUUGGCACAUAUACUUGCCAUUUGCUGGGCUUGAAUCUCCUGGAUGUAUAUGUGCUCGCAUCAUUUUUCUUUUCGAUCAACUCAUGCAUCUUAAGUAACAUUUUCUUUCACUUUUUUGUGUCUCUAAGAAAUACCCUUGAAGUCUGAUGGUUUAGCUUAAUCUCUUAGAAGAAUUUUAUUGACUUGUUUUUUCUGAUUAAUGCUAUAUAUCCUUCAUUCUUAUGCUAUCAUCUUAUCUGUCAACUUUGCAGGUAAUGGAACUACAACUACCUUCCUUUCUUGACAAUUUUGAUCCCUGGGCUGCUGCUGCUAAUGUCCAUCAAGUGUUCAAGCAUAUCUUAGCUGGACUUACACACGGCUUCUCUAUGCAAUACACCAGUGCUAGCCACUACUAGGAUAUGUACCAAUGUCGAAGGUGUAGACAAAAGAAAAAUGUGUAUGGCAUAAUUCAUAAUUGGCAUUGGCCAGCAUAUGGUUGAGAUGCAAGAGAAGUUGGCAAAAACGGCUGCAGUUUAAAGGCAAAAAGACUUUGGACUAACAUUAUAGGGGGUGCAGGUGUCUUGAAGCUCAGUUGAGAAGUUAGCUAAUUUGUAUCCAAGUAUAUUCGAUACUUGACGAAUUUGUAGUUUUAUAACAAGUAAUCCAUGGAUCUGUUCUCAACAGUUUACUUUUAUAUAUCGAGUAGAUUGUUAUUCUGACAGAUUGUUAUCAAGUUGUUGCCCCGGACAAAUAUUAAAAUAUUAUUGCUAAUUUGCUAUACAUUUGAUACAAAAAAAAAAAUUA